AUAUGGGCAGCACUGGGGGGAGGGUGGUGGCAGCAGAGGGGUCGGGGUGGCUCAGGCUCGCUUUUUUCUCUCCCCACAGAGUACAAGGUAAGACCCUUCUGCUGCAAGGAGCGGCCACCAGGCAGAGGUGGGAGUCCCAGGGAUGUGUCCGUUCCCCUCCAUCCUCCACCUGACAGCCCCAUCCCAGGGCUGUGGGGCUCAGAGCAGAGUCCCUCCCCUCCUGCCAGGUCCCAGGUGCUUGGGACAAUGUUUGCUGAGCAGAAUUGUCCCCGGGUGAGGAACAGAGCAGGGGUUUGUGCUGCUGGUUUCCUGCUCACGCUCGUGCCUGGGUCAUUCCUGGUUUUGCAGAGUGAGCAGGUUAUUCCAGAGCCACCAUGGAGAUUCUGGGUGGAUCAGAGCCACCCUGAGAGCAAUUCCCACCUCUCCUUGUCCCAUCCAAGCCCUGGAGUCAGCUGUGCCACCCAAACCCUUGCCCUCAUUCCCAAGUGUGCCCCGAGUGUCUCGUGGCUGCCCCACGUGUCCCUGUCCCCGUGCAGAUCUACCCCUACGAGCUGCUCCUGGUGAAGACCAGGGGGAGGAACCAGCUGCCCAAAGAUGUGGACAGGACUCGGUUAGAGAGACACCUGUCCCAGGAGGAAUUCUACCAGAUCUUCGGGAUGACCAUGGCCGAAUUCGACCGCCUGGCGCUGUGGAAGAGGAACGAGCUGAAGAAGCAGGCCCGGCUGUUUUAAAUGCAGUGCACUAUAAAUAUAUACAUACCUAUAAAUAUAUACAUAGAGAGAUCUCUAUAUUGCAGGUCUGUAUGAUUCUCGGGGCUGUACAGGGCACAGGGGCCCUCUCUGCACCCCUGAGAGUGAAUUGGAGUCUUGCAGAUCGUUUGAUGCUCUGUGUUUCCUUUUCCAACCUGAUUUCUGUAUCGGUGCCUGGCUUCUCCCAGACUCUGCUGCCCCUCAGGGACACGAGGGGAGGAUUUUCCUGCUGCAGAGAGAAGGGGUUUGGGAUGGGGGUGUCCCAUCCCCUUCUGCUCAGCUGGGCUGUGGAGUAGAGGUGGAAAAGGCCCUGGGCACAAGGGCAGGAAAGUGGGAUCUCACUCCGGGCUCCUUAAAUCCUUCCCUGCCUUGACACGGCCAGGACUGGGGGCACUUCACGAUCUGAGAUGUAGAGCUUGGGGCAGGGGAUAGGAGCUGUGGGGACCCCAGGGGGCCAAGCUGAGCCCCUGAGUCCCAGUCCCUCCUGGGCUGGUGGCUUUCCCUGCAAAACCUGGCUUGCUCCAGAGCCAGUUUCUCCUCCCGAGGUGCCAGAACGGCCACUUUCCAUCCCCAAACCCAGCCCUUCCCAAGCAGAACAGCCAAAGCCACCUCCUGCCUUGUGCAGUUUCUUGCUGCUCUUCAGGUUUGUCCAGGGCUGAGUAUUCCAGGAUAUUCCAGCUGGGAGCUGGGGGAAGGCCAGAGGAGAGGAGUGGGAAAUGCAGGUCCCACGACCUGCUGGACCUCUCCUGGAUUUUCCUGAAUUCCCCAUCACAGCUGCCUGAGUCCCUGAUGAAUCCCUCUGGGAAUGAAGGCAAUUCCCUCCACUGCAAACUCUACGUAUUUCUAUCCCAAACUCUAUGGGAUAACUUGGUUUUGGCUUAUUUUUUUCAUAAAACAAAUAAGGUUGUUUCCACACAAACAUCUUCCCUGGUGUCUGUGCUGCUCUGCUCUCCUAUUUGCUCAUCCUGCAGGAUUUUCAGGCACAACCAGGAUUGAACAGUCCCAAAACCAGGCCAAGGAAUGUGGGGUACAGCAGGAGCUGGGUCAGCAGAGUUCCUGUGAGGGGACAGAGCAGGUUUUACCUUCACUGUGCCAUGGGCCACAUUCUGGUCCCCUCUGAAGCCCUCCUGUCCCUCUGUCCCCAUGGAGUGGGUCAGUGCCUUCCCUGCCACCCAGAGCUGCCCGCUUUGCUUCCCAAAAAUCCAUCAGCAGGUUCCCCUUGCAGGGGUUUGCCAGAGCUCCAGGGGCUCAGGGCAGGAGUUCUCCCACCAGCAGCAGCUCUGGAGCUUUGUGCCA
ensembl:lncRNA